CCACUAUGGUGAUGAGAGAAGACGGAGAAGAGAACGAAGAAGAAGGAUGGAGUCUGACGGGUAAAGAGGGAGAAGGGGCUCCCAUGCCCCUGUAAAGCAGCUCAAACUGAUGGAUAUCAAACACACCCUGACGAAAAAGUAUGGAAUCGGAGGCAAGGGCGACAAAAAGACGCUCUACUACAAUCUCUCCUUGAUUCAGUGGCCGUGUUUCUGCCGGCUGGCUCUUCUACCACAACCAGUCCGUCAAGAUUCCCUGCUCUUCAAGGAGCGGAAACGGUAUUCAACAAUCAUAAGAGAAUGUAUCGGGGCCGUCUCUGGAUUUGAAGCUCAAGGACACUGGUGGGAGACAAGCUCGAGUAGGUGACGCCACUUGCUAAGAUGCUCAAGGGAUCCGAGAUGGUCUGCUUUUGUCAACCACACCGAGUACAAGGUGUCCCCACGUGGACGGAAAGAAUGCUCUACAGGUGGCCUGAUAAUUUUCAGCCAGCGCCUUGCCCAGGAUUGCUGAAUCUAUCAAGGAGGUGGCACCUAGCAUAGAUCUCCCAGGUUGUUGGAUCGAGAGAACACGAGGACGUCUUCAACAACGAACUGGAGUUUUCUGUUCUGCGCAAGUUGACUCUCAAAAGCCUGGCGUGGUGGAAGAAGAGGAGAGCUCGUCAACGGACUGCUGCCACUGCGAAAAGCAGACGAUGGGACCUAAGCAAAGGAAUAAGGAGGAUAAUGUCUCUUGUUACGACUCAGACGAGUCAGACUAUUUUGUAGAUGUUGAUUCUGGUGGUAACCAGGAUCUCUACGAGGAGGGUGUGAUUGAAGAUGAGAAUGAAGUCAUGGUCUUCACUCCAGAGCUACCUUUCGAUACCACCAUGUUCAGGGUACGAACCAACCUCGGUCGUUUCGCUUCGUCCCUUACUGACCGAAAACUCCCCAACCGCAAAGCGGACAGCAGGAAGUGUCCCAUUGACACAUGUCGAGAGGUGCCGCAACCAGUUGAGUGAUGGUACCGCACGAGGAGUUUUAGAGCAUGUGUCUUCAUUAGAUGCUGAAGAAGCACAGCCACCAAAGUCGCUAGUGGCCGCUACCAAAACCAGGCAAGUUGAUGCAACAACGGAGUCAACCAGUAAGUGCAGUUUAUCCAGUCACUACGGUUCAGCCAGAUGAAAAUUCAGUUAUCGUCAUUGACUCCAAUGAGAACACACACAAUCUCUGGUGAAUAGCUCAAUCUAGAACUCGAUGGCCAACAGGACUAGUGUUGACGAACAGACUCCGCUCAGCCCCUCGUUCCAGCCUCGCACGGGUCCGUUUGUUCAACCUCCUUGGUGAACCCUGUCGACCAAAACAUGAUGUCCUGGAAAACUCCAUCGGUCAACGAGAUGCGCGAAAUGGCAACUCGACAUGGCCUACAUCUUCUUACCCGACAGGAUAUGCCCUCUCUGUAGAUCCUCUCUCUUGAGUAGAUUUAUGACAUGGCGGCCCGACAUGGUCUGCAUGUGCUUAAUACAGAGGAGAUGCACAGGUUGACGGCCCAGAGUAGACCCCGUAUAUGCGGUACGUCGAGGUGGCCAUUGUGCACACCUCAUCCAGUGACUUCUAUCAUGCAUUCGUCUUCCACUUGUAGCAUCGUCUUCCACUUGUAGCAUACAACCUCCAGUUUCGAACGUUUCGCACCCAUCUCCAUACAACCUCCAUCUUCUAGCGUUUCGCGCCGACCUCUUCGAGAGGU
rnacentral:misc_RNA from 1 species